rnacentral:lncRNA from 1 species
AGAGACUCUAUGGAGCCAUCGGCAAAUAGAAGCAAGCCUCUUUAGGACCAGAGCCCAGAUAUGGGGUGCAAAAUUUUCCCUUGAUCUACUGCCAUGUCACCCUUUUUAUUUUUUCUCUUUUGUUUAUUAACUAAAAUAAAUGGAAGACCAACCAAAAUCGGAAAGAAGCAUGAUUCAAACUAAAGGUGUCAAUGGGUCAAAUUGUAUUUGCUUUACAUGCAGGUUGAUGUAGGUUCGACUCAUACCCCACAUAUACUUUUCCUUCAUCCAUAUCAGCUCAUCAACCUUUCUAAAGUUUUAUUCAUUACUUAUGUGUAUA